rnacentral:rRNA from 1 species
UGGAGUAGUGUGGUUUAAUUCGAUGCAACGCGAAGAACCUUACCUGGUCUUGACAUCCCGGAGACCCUUAGGAAACGUAGGGGUGCUUCCAUCUGGAAGAAUCUGGAGACAGGUGCUGCAUGGCUGUCGUCAGCUCGUGUCGUGAGAUGUUGGGUUAAGUCCCGCAACGAGCGCAACCCUUGCCUUUAGUUGCCAGCAGUUCGGCUGGGCACUCUAAAGGGACUGCCGGUGUUAAACCGGAGGAAGGUGGGGAUGACGUCAAGUCCCCAUGGCCUUUAUGACCAGGGCUACACACGUACUACAAUGGCCGAUACAAAGGGCAGCGACACUGCGAGGUGAAGCCAAUCCCGUAAAAUCGGUCUCAGUCCGGAUUGGAGUCUGCAACUCGACUCCAUGAAGUUGGAAUCGCUAGUAAUCGUGGAUCAGCAUGCCACGGUGAAUACGUUCCCGGGCCUU